GAAGUACUUUAUAUCUCUUUUGACUGUAAAGGGUUAACAAGUUCAGUAAGCCUGGCUGUCACCUGACCAGAGGACGAAUCAAGGGACAGGAUACUUCAAAUCUGGAGGACGGAAAAUUUUUGUGUGUG